AUUACUCUCAAUUUCUAUUACAAGUAUUCUGAUCCAUUCUUUCCAAUCCUCAAGAUUUUAAAAAUAUCAGCUUUACAAAUUAAUUCGAAGUUCAGACCGUCAUUGAAGCAUGGGUUACUCAGUGAUAGUUAGAACCUAGAAUGAGUUGGGAUCUUCUUGAUUAUUCAACCCGCCAUUGUCAUGCUGGUUUAGCAGGCUAAAUUCAGUUGCUUAGCCGAUAAUGGAGGAUACUGAAUAGUUAGGAAUUUCCUGAACUAUGAUUUAUCAAAAGACAGACUGUGGUUUAUGAAAUGUUGAUUCUCAAAAGUUGAUUUGGAAUAUUUCUGUUGUUGAUAAUGAUUAUGAUUCUGUUCUGUUGAUUGAAUUGUUUAUUGAUCUAAAUUGUUAGAAUUGGAUUAUUUUUUAUAAAAUAUGUGGACCAGAUUCGUGGUCAGACCAGAUUCGUGGUCAAUUAUAGGCCAAUGUGUGCUUUGGAUCCAGUAUAGAGAGCAGGGCUGUGUGCCAUGUUCGGGGUUAGUUUUGGAUCCAGUAUAGAGAGCAGGGCUGUGUGCCAUGUUCGGGGUUAGUGCGUGACUGAUCAGCAGCCUAACCUUUGGUUUUUAAGUAAAAAUGUGAUGAAUCCAAUUCGACAAUUCCUCUGUAAGUUUGAAUUCUGAUUUCAAUUGCUGAUAAGAAUUGUGAAGUUUUCAAUUACAUUUCCUGAACUUGUGAACCCUGAUAAGAUAUUUCAGGACUAUUGUUGCUUAUAUACACUUGCUGAGCAUUGUUGCUCACCAUUGCUAUUCCUUUUUAACCAUUUCAGAAAGGCUUAGAGAUGAAUUGCUUGAUUGAGAUUGCGAGUAUGGCUAAGGCUAAGCGAGGAGUCAGAGUUAUAGAAUAUCCAGAGGACAAGUGGAAUGUCCAGGGAGAUUGUCAAGGUUGG
rnacentral:lncRNA from 1 species